AAGUAGUAAACUUAAUUAAAACUUAUAUAUUACGGCGGCAUCUUAUCUUAUUAGAGGAACUUGUUCUAUAAUCGAUAAUCCACGAUAAUUUUCACUUACAUUUAAAGUUUAUAUACCUCCAUCUUAAGAACUAUUUAUAAAACAUUAUUCUAAAUAACACAUAACAAGUUAGGUCAAGGUGUAACCAAAAUAUGAGAAGAAAUGAGUUACUUUAAAUACAAUUUAAGGAAAAUUAUUAUUAAAUAAUUAGAAAAAGGAUUUAUUAGUAAAAGACGAAUAAUAAUCGUUCUUGAAAAAGAUAAUAGAUGUGC
rnacentral:rRNA from 1 species